AUUGAACGCUGGCGGCAGGCCUAACACAUGCAAGUCGAGCGAGCGGCGGACGGGUGAGUAAUGUAUGGGGAUCUGCCCGAUAGAGGGGGAUAACUACUGGAAACGGUAGCUAAUACCGCAUACCAUCGGAUGUGCCCAUAUGGGAUUAGCUAGUAGGUGGGGUAAUGGCUCACCUAGGCGACGAUCCCUAGCUGGUCUGAGAGGAUGACCAGCCACACUGGAACUGAGACACGGCCCAGACUCCUACGGGAGGCAGCAGUGGGGAAUAUUGCACAAUGGGCGCAAGCCUGAUGCAGCCAUGCCGCGUGUAUGAAGAAGGCCUUCGGGUUGUAAAGUACUUUCAGUGGGGAGGCGUUACCGGCAGAAGAAGCACCGGCUAACUCCGUGCCAGCAGCCGCGGUAAUAC
rnacentral:rRNA from 1 species